GGCCUGAUGGUCUAGUAGUAUGAUUCACCCUUAGGGCUUGCAGUCUUCAUGGCUCAGCAAUGAAUGGGUGAGGUCCCGGGUUCAAUUCCCGGUCAAGCCC